AUGGAGUCGUCCUUGCCUAUCUUCCCCUGUACCUUCUGGGUCAGAGAGAUGCUGUGGAAUCAUCAACCCCGUCGUCCACCACGCCAGCCACACCUGAGACUCCCAGCCCCACAUGUGGCACUCUUGGCUCAGCCUGCACGUGGAGGAAGCAACACCUAUAUUCUGGUUUCGUUUUCUUCACUGCGUUUUUGCUUAAGGCCACUCCUAUUAUUUUUCUCUGAUUUCUUUAUUUCUUCUGGUGCUUGCAAGAAUCAUUUUAAUUUGGGCAAUAAAUACAUUUUCCUUCUUUAAAAUCUCUUCUGACAUUGACUUAAUUUUAAACACCUUAGUAAAACAUCACAGGCUUUUGGCAAACAAUCAGUCAGCAAAAUUUAGCCAUCCAAAAAUAAAUGAGAAGUUGAACAGGCUGACACUUGCUAAGCUCAACAAAACACAGGAGGCGUAGUUACGUGGAUAAAUCACUUCUCUUUAAUAAAUAUGUUGACUUGAGCAAGUGAAGUGGCUUCUAUCAGAGAAGGACAAGGAAGAGAAAUACUAGUAAUUUAUUCCAGUGUUUUGGUCAUAACCAUGACUUAUUUCUUUUUCUUUUUUUAAAUUGCCAUGCCUACGAUGGGUAUGUGAACACUUUAUUUUCAAGUCAAGUCCCAGAGAAGACAUGCUCCUGUGAUUUCUUCAACUACUCUUAAGACUUUGCUGGUUGCUCAUGAAUACAUUAAAAUAAACAUUUUAGGAGCCUUGCCUGUGAGCCCUUUUGGCACUGGUCUGAUCUGAAUAGGUUGCUCUGAGGUCACUGCAGACCAUAAAUCAGAGGGUGGCCUGGUGGCUGCAACAGCCCGCGUGGCUUUAGUGCAAUGUGCUAUUUUCGUUUGUGCCCCUGAAAUGACACCAUCUUUUUGGCACCAGCCACAGAAAGCUUCCUAGACAUCUAUGGGAAGGGAAUGCUUCACAGUAAUCCAUGACCAAGGUCACAUAGGCAUGAAUUACUGUGAGGAGGACAGUGUCUGCUCCAGACCCUGUGACAAAGUAGGGGGACAACUUCCAACUAAAGUGCAUAUCCAGGAAUCUAGAGGAAGACUGAUCCAAUCAUCUUAGCGAUCAUGAAAGCAAAGAAUAACCAAUUCUUUUCAAUCCACAAAACUAAGGCAUUUUCUUCCUGCCGCCUUUGCAAUCGCAUUAGUUAGGUCCAGUGAAAACCUCAGAAAUAUUUUGAGAAAGAUUCAGCAUAAAUAAUAAUGAUUGUAUUUGUUUAUAUGAUAUAAAACAUACCAUAAUCAAACAAAAAACUCCAACACUUUCUAGCCGAGACUCAUACAUUUCUAUGGUUUGUAUCCUUUUUCCAUGAAGGUUGUGACUUAACCAGCCUGAGCUUUCAGAAUUUAUUGAUUUUUGCACAUAAACUUAGUAUAGUUUCUCCUCUCUCUCCCCCAUCUGUCUCCCUCCCUUCCUCCUUCCCUCCCUUCCCCUCUCCCUUCCUUCCUUCCUUUCAUACUUCCUUCCUGCCUUCUCUUCCUUCCUUCUUUCCUCCUUUUUUAUUUUUGGGAGGAGCAAAUGUAGUCUGAUAUAUAAAUCAAAACAUACUAGAUUAUAACAGAUUGUAUAGCUGAGUAUCUAUUAAAACCCUCUCUUGGUUUCGUCAAUAGUCUGUAUAGAAAGAAAAAAGAUUAGCACCCAUCUUAAUUAUAAGUUUUUGGUAAAUAUUUUGCAGUCUUUUGCUCUGAAUUGAAGUCCCCACUGAAAGGGAAAGGGUGCUCAGUCACUUGGCCUGGAGAAAUGUGAGAGGUUUGGCUCAAAAGUGAGUGGUGUUUGUUCCCACCAUGGGCUGGUGCCUAUAAUGCUGCCAGCAGCCAAUGGUUGAGGGGACUCCCUGUGACAGUUCAGCUCAUAGGGGAGAGUCUGCCUCAUUUGAGGAGAGGGAAAAGAGGAGGAUGCCUUUCCCAGACACAGUCAUCCAGCAGAAAUACUGUGUGGGACAAGCUCUGAGGGAUGCUCAAAGAUCGGGCCAGAGUUUUACAGUGAGAUCAUAACAGACUUGUAAGUGCCCAGGGAGCAGAAAAGCCUGACAAAUACUCUGCACGCAUACUGUGAACUUGAGGUGUUUUAUUAUUCUAAUCAUUGCACUUGACAACAGAUUACUGAGCAGUGCUGAAAACAGAAGCAGUGAGGGCUUGUGUUUCUAAGGAGAGAAGCAGUUGCAGCUUUAACUUGUGCUAAGGAGUAAUUUUGGCUGCCGAAAUUCUGACUGACCAGAUGUGGAGAACUGUUCCACCCACACAUGGAUUCUGAUCUGUUUUGGACAGCUGGCUAAGGCCUCCACUGUUCGUGGUUCUUCCACUGCUCUUUUGCCAAUCAUUGUCAUCAUCAUUGUUGUUGUCAUGGUUAUUAUUAUCAUUAUUGCCCAUGCAUCUACUUCCACUCACAUUCACCAGACUGGUUGUCAAGAUCACACAGCGGUGAAAGAGAUGAAAGCCCUAUAAUUUGAUAAGUUUGAGAUAACCAUGGUAAAUGGGCCUGUAAUUCUAAUAACUGGGUUUUUAAUACAUUGAUAAUCAAAUCAAUCAUCUUCAAGGGAUAGAUCAUGUCCACCUGACAGGAACUGUAUUCUAAAUGACAUAAUGUUGGUGUUGGUGUUUGGGAAGCAAACUUUAAGGGAAAAGAGAGAAAGAGGGGAGAGAAGUCCUGGGGUUGAGGUGUGGAGGUGGAGGACCAUAGCCUCUCUCGCUGUGUGUCCCUCCCUGUUUCCUUCUGCCCCUCUCUGCAACCCUGCUGUAGAACACAACAAAGUUACAGACUGAUGUGUCUUAGGCCUUAGCUCUGUGAAUCUUAACAUUUUCUUUAACCACAGAAAACAACAGCUGAAGCAGAGGAUCUCAGAAAAGCAGUUAAAAAAAUAUAUCACAAGCAUGACUCAUUUUUUUCUUCUAUCUUUAUGUGGUCCCAUAGGUCCCCCUAGGGAACAUAGUUUCCUUUAUAAACAUGUCCAUCGCAAGGCAAUAUGUGGUUGCCCUAAUAACAAGCUUCUGAGCCUUUUCCUUUUUUUAUUGUGCAGGAAAUGCACAGCACAGAGAGCUUUCUGCUAUCUUGGGUGUGCUGAGUGAGGUUGAAAAUAAGCAUGGAUUCUUCUGGGGAAAGGCACAUCACUAUGCAGAGAAUGGUUUUUAAAAAUGAGACCUCAGAGAACAAGCCAGCCUCCUAGAUUUAGAUGAAGAAUGGUCUGGGAAGAGGUUAGAUGACCUGUGCAAGUUCCUACUCUGAGGAGGACUGUGUCUGGGGCGGGGCUGGCACCAGCCCUGACAGCUUGUCCAGUGCUGUUUCCACCACAGGAAACCUCUGCAGCCAUGCUUAUAAGCGGAUACUCUGUACAUAAACCAUGUCUUGAAUUUACUAAGUUAAUCAGACAAGUGAAAAAUGUUGAAUUCCCUACAAAUGUCUCACUUUCCUGAACACUUACUUUGGUAAAUAUCAUAGGAAUGAGUAUUUAUGAUUUAUCAUGUUUUAGGCACGACUCUAAACAGUUUUUCAAUGAAGUUUGUACUCCUUUUUUAUAAGUGAUAAACUGAGGUACAGAGAGACUUAGUGGCCUCCGUCAUGUCACAGAAGGGAUUAACUGGCACAGCCCAGGCAGAAGCUACUGCCUACUCCCUUGCACUGAGGUUGCUGAAAAUGACAGGAUCUCACAUAAAUUAGCAAGCAGGAGCUAUGGCCCUGAAAUCUGAAGAUGCACUGGACAUUGGCUUUGCAAGUUUCCCUCUACAGUCUGCAUGGAUUAAGUUAAAUGAAGUGAUUGGUUUGGAAAGGGCAAAGUACAUCAUAGGGAAGUGCAGUGCAGAUCUCAUGAUCUACUGUGCUGAUCAUCUGUACAACCCAAGAGCCAGGGCUCUGCCAUUGCACUGGGGACAGAACCCAACUUAAUCUAUGCCUAGGCAAUACAGGCAGAACCAGAACUGGGGGCUAGAUUCUGACUCCCAGCUUUCCUCUGCACCAUGGUUGCUCAAGUGAAAUUAGUCACCCCGAGAGUCACCAGGGCUCAGCACAGAGGUGCUACAGGGUCAUCCUGAAGUCUUGCUCUUCAGGACGAGGUCCUUGUAAUCCAAGGUGGGAACAUCUCUCUAUAGGUGGAGCUGUCUAGCACCAAGGCUGGCAUAAAAAAAGAAAGAAGAAGAAGAAGAAGAAGAAGAAGAAGAAGAAGAAGAAGAAGAAGAAGAAGAAGAAGAAGAAGAAGAAGAAGAAGAAGGAGAA
ensembl:lincRNA